ACUGAACGCUGGCGGCAUGCCUUACACAUGCAAGUCGAACGGCAGCACGGGUGCUUGCACCUGGUGGCGAGUGGCGAACGGGUGAGUAAUACAUCGGAACGUACCUUAUCGUGGGGGAUAACGCAGCGAAAGCUGUGCUAAUACCGCAUACGCCCUGAGGGGGAAAGCGGGGGAUCGCAAGACCUCGCGCGAUUAGAGCGGCCGAUGCCUGAUUAGCUUGUUGGUGGGGUAAAAGCCCAACAAGGCGACGAUCAGUAGCUGGUCUGAGAGGACGAUCAGCCACACUGGGACUGAGACACGGCCCAGACUCCUACGGGAGGCAGCAGUGGGGAAUUUUGGACAAUGGGGGCAACCCUGAUCCAGCAAUGCCGCGUGAGUGAAGAAGGCCUUCGGGUUGUAAAGCUCUUUUGUCAGGGAAGAAACACCGGCUCUAACACAGUCUGGGAAUGACGGUACCUGAAGAAUAAGCACCGGCUAACUACGUGCCAGCCGCCGCAGUAA
rnacentral:rRNA from 1 species